rnacentral:rRNA from 1 species
ACUUAGUGGCGGACGGGUGAGUAACGCGUGGAUAACCUGCCUUACACUGGGGGAUAACACUUAGAAAUAGGUGCUAAUACCGCAUAAGCGCACAGAGCCGCAUGGCUCAGUGUGAAAAACUCCGGUGGUGUAAGAUGGAUCCGCGUCUGAUUAGCUAGUUGGCGGGGUAGAAGCCCACCAAGGCGACGAUCAGUAGCCGGCCUGAGAGGGUGAACGGCCACAUUGGGACUGAGACACGGCCCAAACUCCUACGGGAGGCAGCAGUGGGGAAUAUUGCACAAUGGGGGAAACCCUGAUGCAGCAACGCCGCGUGAGUGAAGAAGUCAUUCGUGAUGUAAAGCUCUAUCAGCAGGGAAGAAAAUGACGGUACCUGAGUAAGAAGCCCCGGCUAACUACGUGCCAGCAGCCGCGGUAAUACGUAGGGGGCAAGCGUUAUCCGGAUUUACUGGGUGUAAAGGGAGCGUAGACGGCCAGACAAGUCUGAAGUGAAAAUCCAGCGCUUAACGUUGGAAGUGCUUUGGAAACUGCCGGGCUAGAGUGCAGGAGGGGCAGGCGGAAUUCCUAGUGUAGCGGUGAAAUGCGUAGAUAUUAGGAGGAACACCAGUGGCGAAGGCGGCCUGCUGGACUGCAACUGACGUUGAGGCUCGAAGGCGUGGGGAGCAAACAGGAUUAGAUACCCUGGUAGUCCACGCGGUAAACGAUGAUUACUAGGUGUCGGGGGGCUAGAGCCCUUCGGUGCCGUCGCAAACGCAAUAAGUAA